rnacentral:rRNA from 1 species
ACGAACGCUGGCGGCGUGCCUAAUACAUGCAAGUCGAACGAGAGCGACCGGUGCUUGCACUGGUCAAUCUAGUGGCGAACGGGUGAGUGACACGUGGGUAACCUGCCCAUCAGAGGGGGAUAACAUCCGGAAACGGAUGCUAAAACCGCAUAGGUCUUCGAGCCGCAUGGCUUGAAGAGGAAAAGAGGCGCAAGCUUCUGCUGAUGGAUGGACCCGCGGUGCAUUAGCUAGUUGGUGAGGUAACGGCUCACCAAGGCCGUGAUGCAUAGCCGACCUGAGAGGGUGAUCGGCCACAUUGGGACUGAGACACGGCCCAAACUCCUACGGGAGGCAGCAGUAGGGAAUCUUCCGCAAUGGACGCAAGUCUGACGGAGCAACGCCGCGUGAGUGAAGAAGGUUUUCGGAUCGUAAAACUCUGUUGUUAGAGAAGAACAAGUGCUAGAGUAACUGUUAGCGCCUUGACGGUAUCUAACCAGAAAGCCACGGCUAACUACGUG